rnacentral:rRNA from 1 species
CAUGCAGUCGAACGGAACGAAACUAGCUUGCUAGUAGGCGUCGAGUGGCGGACGGGUGAGUAACGCGUAGGAAUCUGCCUGAUAGUGGGGGAUAGCCCGAAGAAAUUCGGAUUAAUACCGCAUAAUCUAUUCGUAGUAAAGUGGGGGACUUUCGAGCCUCACGCUAUCAGAUGAGCCUGCGUAAGAUUAGCUUGUUGGUAGGGUAAAAGCCUACUAAGGCAACGAUCUUUAGCUGGUCUGAGAGGAUGAUCAGCCACAUCGGGACUGAGACACGGCCCGAACUCCUACGGGAGGCAGCAGUGGGGAAUAUUGGACAAUGGGGGCAACCCUGAUCCAGCAAUACCGCGUGAGUGAAGAAGGCCUUUGGGUUGUAAAGCUCUUUCGUCGGGGAAGAAAAUGACUGUACCCGAAUAAGAAGGUCCGGCUAACUUCGUGCCAGCAGCCGCGGUAAUACGAAGGGACCUAGCGUAGUUCGGAAUUACUGGGCUUAAAGAGCACGUAGGUGGUUAGAGAAGUUGGUGGUGAAAUCCCAAGGCUUAACCUUGGAACUGCCAUCAAAACUUUUUAACUAGAGUGUGAUAGAGGUAAGUGGAAUUUCUAGUGUAGAGGUGAAAUUCGUAGAUAUUA